rnacentral:rRNA from 1 species
CCUGAGUACGACGGAGCACGUGAAAUUCCGUCGGAAUCUGGGAGGACCAUCUCCUAAGGCUAAAUACUCUCUAGUGACCGAUAGUGAACCAGUACCGUGAGGGAAAGGUGAAAAGUACCCCGGAAGGGGAGUGAAAGAGAACUUGAAACCGUGUGCUUACAAGUAGUCAGAGCCCGUUAAUGGGUGAUGGCGUGCCUUUUGUAGAAUGAACCGGCGAGUUACGAUCUGAUGCAAGGUUAAGCAGAAAAUGUGGAGCCGUAGCGAAAGCGAGUCUGAAUAGGGCGAAUGAGUAUUUGGUCGUAGACCCGAAACCAGGUGAUCUACCCUUGGUCAGGUUGAAGUUCAGGUAACACUGAAUGGAGGACCGAACCGACUUACGUUGAAAAGUGAGCGGAUGAACUGAGGGUAGCGGAGAAAUUCCAAUCGAACUUGGAGAUAGCUGGUUCUCUCCGAAAUAGCUUUAGGGCUAGCCUCAAGUGAUGAUUAUUGGAGGUAGAGCACUGUUUGGACGAGGGGCCCCUCUCGGGUUACCGAAUUCAGACAAACUCCGAAUGCCAAAUAAUUUAACUUGGGAGUCAGAAUGUGGGUGAUAAGGUCCAUAUUCGAAAGGGAAACAGCCCAGACCACCAGCUAAGGUCCCAAAAUAUAUGUUAAGUGGAAAAGGAUGUGGCGUUGCCCAGACAACUAGGAUGUUGGCUUAGAAGCAGCCAUCAUUUAAAGAGUGCGUAAUAG